rnacentral:rRNA from 1 species
GACGAACGCUGGCGGCGUGCUUAACACAUGCAAGUCGAACGGUGAAGCGCCUUCCUUUUUGGUGGGUGUGGAUGAGUGGCGAACGGGCGAGUAACACGUGAGUAACCUGCCCCCUUCUUCUGGAUAACCGCAUGAAAGUGUGGCUAAUACGGGAUAUUCUGGGUCUGUCGCAUGAUGGGUCUGGGAAAGAUAUUGUUUCGGUGGGGGAUGGGCUCGCGGCCUAUCAGCUUGUUGGUGGGGUGAUGGCCUACCAAGGCGGUGACGGGUAGCCGGCCUGAGAGGGUGGACUGUCACACUGGGACUGAUACACGGCCCAGACUCAUACGGGAGGCAGCAGUGGGGAAUAUUGCACAAUGGGCGCAAGCCUGAUGCAGCGACGCCGCGUGAGGGAUGGAGGCCUUCGGGUUGUGAACCUCUUUCGCCAGUGAAGCAGGCCUGCCUCGUUUGUGGGUGGGUUGACGGUAGCUGGAUAAGAAGCGCCGGCUAACUACGUG